AUGCUAAUGAGCUCGACUCGAGGCAGGGUUUGUUGUUCUAAAAAAAAAUAAGAAAAAAGAAAAACAUACGUUACUAUUUAACGAGCAGGCAGCAAUCAAAGCAGGCAAACUACUACCAACUAGUGAUGGGAAAAAUAAAGUUUUCGUCGGAAUCGAUUCCGGCUAGCUUUGAA